CAGGACGAACGCUGGCGGCGUGCCUAAUACAUGCAAGUCGAACGGCUUUUCCAUGGAAGCUUGCUUCCACUGAGAAGAUAGUGGCGAACGGGUGAGUAACACGUGGGUAACCUGCCCAUAAGAGGGGGAUAACAUCCGGAAACGGGUGCUAAUACCGCAUAGUUUCUUGAUCGCAUGAUCGGGAAGGAAAGACGGCCUUUGUGCUGUCGCUUAUGGAUGGACCCGCGGCGUAUUAGUUAGUUGGUGAGGUAACGGCUCACCAAGACGAUGAUACGUAGCCGACCUGAGAGGGUGAUCGGCCACAUUGGGACUGAGACACGGCCCAAACUCCUACGGGAGGCAGCAGUAGGGAAUCUUCCGCAAUGGACGAAAGUCUGACGGAGCAACGCCGCGUGAGUGAAGAAAAGGUUUUCGGAUCGUAAAACUCUGUUGUCAGAGAAGAACAAGUUGGAGAGUAACUGCUCCAGCCUUGACGGUAUCUGACCAGAAAGCCACGGCUAACUACGUGCCAGCAGCCGC
rnacentral:rRNA from 1 species